GCUUUCCUGCGGCUCAGUUGGUAGGGCAUUGCGCUAAUAGCCCAAAGGUUCUAGGUUCAAAUCCCAGGGAAAGCA